UACAGAGGGUGCAAACGUUGUUCGGAAUUACUGGGCGUAAAGCGCGUGCAGGCGGCCUUGCAAGUCGGACGUGAAAUCCCACGGCUCAACCGUGGAAGUGCAUUCGAAACUGCGAGGCUGGAGUCCUGGAGAGGAAAGUGGAAUACUCGGUGUAGAGGUGAAAUUCGUAGAUAUUCGGAAGAACACCAGUGGCGAAGGCGGCUCACUGGUCCGGUACUGACGCUGAGGUGCGAAAGCGUGGGGAGCAAACAGG
rnacentral:rRNA from 1 species